GUGCAAGGGUUAAUCGGAAUUAUUGGGCGUAAAGCGCACGCAGGCGGUUUGUUAAGUCAAAUGGAAAUCCCCGGGUUCACCCUGGGAAGUGCAUAUGAUACUGGCAGACUAGAGGCCGUAGAGGGGGGUAGAAUUCCAGGUGUAGCGGUGAAAUGCGUAGAGAUGUGGAGGAAUACCGGUGGCGAAGGCGGCCCCCUGGACGAAGACUCCGCUCAGGUGGAAAGCGUGGAGAGCAAACAGGAUUAGAUACCGUGGUAGUCCUCCCGGUAAACGAUGUAGGACUUGGGAGUGAUUGUGCUUCAUUGGGAAA
rnacentral:rRNA from 1 species